GGAUGCGAUCAUACCAGCACUAAAGCACCGGAUCCCAUCAGAACUCCGAAGAUAAGCGUGCUUGGGCGAGAGUAGUACUAGGAUGGGUGACCUCCUGGGAAGUCCUCGUGUUGCAUCCC
rnacentral:rRNA from 1 species